ACACCUGACUAUCAAGGUCGUGGUGGACCGCAGCCUCGUGGUGGAAUGGUGCCACAACAGUAUGGUCCGCCAUCAGAGUACCAUGGUCGUGGUGGACCUCCGCCUCGUGGUGGAAUGGCGCCACAACAGCAAGGCCCGCCACCUGAGUACCAUGGUCGUGGGGGUCCUCAGCCUCGUGGGGGGAUGGCGCCACAACAGCAACGCCCGGCGCCUGAAUACCAUGGUCGUGGUGGACCUCAGCCCCGUGGUGGAAUGGCACCGCAACAAUCAAGUCUGACUCCUGAAUACCAAGGUCGUGGUGUCCCUCAGCCUCGG
rnacentral:misc_RNA from 1 species